CCUCCUGGUUGCAGCCCUCAGGGAGAGCUCAAAAGCAACACCUGAAAGAUCCCCGAAGAGAGACCCUUACUCAAGUCUCGGGAAAUCGCGGACCCCAGACACAGAGAGACCA
rnacentral:miRNA from 14 species